rnacentral:rRNA from 1 species
AAUACAACGCUGGCGGCGUGCCUAACACAUGCAAGUCGAACGAGAAAGUGGGGGCAACCCUGCGAGUACAGUGGCAGACGGGUGAGUAACACGUGAACAACCUACCCUUGAGUGGGGAAUAACACCGCGAAAGCGGAGCUAAUACCGCAUAACAUCUUGAGCUCGCAUGGGCGAGAGAUCAAAGCCGAAAGGCGCUUGAGGAGGGGUUCGCGGCUGAUUAGCUAGUUGGUGAGGUAACGGCUCACCAAGGCGACGAUCAGUAGCCGGCCUGAGAGGGCGAACGGCCACACUGGAACUGAGACACGGUCCAGACUCCUACGGGAGGCAGCAGUGGGGAAUUUUGCGCAAUGGGCGAAAGCCUGACGCAGCAACGCCGCGUGGAGGAUGAAGGCCUUCGGGUCGUAAACUCCUGUCGACGGGGAAGAAAGCCGAAAGGUUUGACUGUACCCGUUGAGGAAGCCACGGCUAACUCCGUG